CAGAUUGUCACACAGCCAGUGAGGUGUUGAUGCCCUCUAAGGCUCAUGCGCUCAGUGUUUGUGAACAGUAGUAGACCCUUGCCUGCUUUGAUCAUCUCAUCUGUGGGAUCAGGUUUCUUUCAAAAUGAAGAUUCACUCAGUGGUUGUAGCUGUCUUGAUAAGCCAGGUUCUAGUUUACGAAGUUUUAUUCCAGAGGGAAAAAAGCCACUUCACCUAGAAAUCUUCCAAACAAAUCAACUUUUGCUCUGUGAGUAAUCCAGGCUAUCAAGACUACAUUUUAGCUGACGGCAAGGCCUCUGAGGCACGGAAAUUCACAGCUGAGUUCUUGGAGAAGGUCCUUGAGCCAUCUGGAUGGCGUGCAGUCUGGCACAUAAUGUGCUCAAGGUGCUGCUUGAGGUGAAGUUAAUUUUGUUGUUAAGACAUUUGUCUCAAGCUAUAAGCACUUUACUUCAGACU
rnacentral:lncRNA from 1 species